UGACAUGCCAAUUGGUCCAGUUAAAUCAAUAGAUAUUCUGUUAAAUUGUCUUAAACAACAGCAUUAAAUCCCGUUAGGUAAUGCUUUGUAUACGUGCGUGUGUUUGGCAACUGAGACGCAGUCAUUCGUAUUUAUAUUUGCAAAGAAUUGUGUUAAUAAGUGUGUGCGGACCCGCGAGUAAUUAUAUUCAAAUUAUUAAUUUCGCUUCUAAUUUGCAAAGAAAUAUAUAUUUUAUUGACUUAUAAAGUGUGUGCGGGUAAAUAAAUGUAAAUUAUUUGAUAACAUGAACGUCGGAAAUAGUGAUUUUGAUAUAUUUAUAUGUGAAAGCAAGGAAGUGGAGGAAGACGAAAAACUUCUAUGUUUGCUUUAAAAGUAGUUUGUUUCCAACUACUUUGUCAAUUGAUUAAUUUCUGAGACAACGUUGUUAUUUCCGACAGGGCAAGCUUCUUGAAGUUUCGUUCAUUUUUUUGUUCAUGCUUGUCUUUGCAUUAAUUGAAAAAAUACUUCGCAAGUUUUGUAACGAAAAAUACGGGCAAAAAGUUAUAAUUUUAAGUUUAGACAGACAAUAAGUGUACACCUGUUAAAUAACUCACAUACAUAUACAUAAAUUUUUAAAUAUACAGAUGCCAGCGUGGGAAUAGAAGAAUUGCGAUAUCUUACUGAAAGCGACUUGAACAAAAUUUUCCCUUCAGUGGAAGUAGUGGGCACUAAAGCGAAAUUGCGUGAAAAAAAUCAAAUUGUGGAAAAAACAGGAGUUUGGUGAAGGUGACGAUGUAACGACAGCGAUCCAAAAAGUCAGUGAGUGGAUUAAGCAAAACGAAAGUCUCGCAUCCUGUUAUUCGCCCUCAAGUGCAACACCAACUUCACACGAUUCAUUUGAGGUUGAUAUUCAAAAUAUAUUGCAACAUUAUCCUCGGGGAAAAGAUUCCCUUGAGUAUUAUGAAGAUCAAAAAACGCUCACACCUUACCACCAGCAAAGUAUUGCGAACUGUGUUAUUGACCAUUACU